rnacentral:rRNA from 1 species
CUCAGUAACACGUGGAUAACCUACCCUAAGGUGGGGGAUAAUCUCGGAAAACUGAGGAUAAUACCCCAUAGAUCUUGGCUGCUGGAAUGCACUUAGGUUAAAAGCUCCGGCGCCUUAGGAUGGGUCUGCGGCCUAUCAGGUAGUAGUGAGUGUAAAGGACUCACUAGCCGACGACGGGUACGGGCCAUGGGAGUGGUUGCCCGGAGAUGGACUCUGAGACACGAGUCCAGGCCCUACGGGGCGCAGCAGGCGCGAAAACUUCGCAAUGCGCGCAAGCGCGACGAGGGGAUUCCAAGUGCAUGCACUCAGUGUAUGCUGUUUAUUAGUCUAAAAAGCUUAUAGAGUAAGGGCUGGGUAAGACUGGUGCCAGCCGCCGCGGUAAUACCAGCGGCCCUAGUGGUGAUCGUUAUUAUUGGGCCUAAAGCGUCCGUAGCCGGUUCGGUAAAUCUCUGGGUAAAUCGAUGGGCUUAACCCAUCGAAUUCUGGGGAGACUGCUGGACUUGGGACCGGGAGAGGUCGGAGGUACUCCAGGGGUAGGGGUGAAAUCCUGUAAUCCUUGGGGGACCACCGGUGGCGAAGGCGUCCGACCAGAACGGGUCCGACGGUAAGGGACGAAGCCCUGGGGCGCAAACCGGAUUAGAUACCCGGGUAGUCCAGGGUGUAAACGCUGCGCGCUUGGUGUUGGGGGUCUUACGUGGGCAUCCAGUGCCGGAGAGAAGGGGUUAAUCGCGCCGCCUGGGGAGUACGGUCGCAAGACUGAAACUAAAG